rnacentral:lncRNA from 11 species
AUGCAUUGCAAGUGUUUGCUGCAUACAGUGCAAUACUUUCAUCUAUUGGCCUUUCAUAAUCAUUUCUCAGACAAUAUAUUUUCAAUAAUUGUUUGUUUGUUUUGUGUUUUAGGGCUGCUUGAUUCUGUGGCCAAAGAGAAGCAGGAAGGCUCUUCCCUGAAGGCUGCAAAAAGCUGGCUCCAUGUGUUUACUGUGAGUGCCUACCAAGGCCUGGUCCUGCCUGAGGCCCUGCAAGACUUCUUCAGCCAAACUUUGACCCAAGUUCUGACCUACAACCCUCAGCUCAAAGGUAGGGCUUUUUAAAAAAUAAAUUGCAUUUUAUUUUUGUACUGUGGGGUGAAUUGUUCUAAUACUGUAAACAGGUUGCC